GAUGAACGCUGGCGGCGUGCUUAACACAUGCCAGUCGAACGGAAAGGCCCAAGCUUGCUUGGGUACUCGAGUGGCGAACGGGUGAGUAACACGUGGGUGAUCUGCCCUGCACUUCGGGAUAAGCCUGGGAAACUGGGUCUAAUACUGGAUAGGACCACUUCUUGGAUGGUGUGGUGGAAAGUUUUUUCGGUGUGGGAUGAGCUCGCGGCCUAUCAGCUUGUUGGUGGGGUAAUGGCCUACCAAGGCGUCGACGGGUAGCCGGCCUGAGAGGGUGUACGGCCACAUUGGGACUGAGAUACGGCCCAGACUCCUACGGGAGGCAGCAGUGGGGAAUAUUGCACAAUGGGCGCAAGCCUGAUGCAGCGACGCCGCGUGGGGGAUGACGGCCUUCGGGUUGUAAACUCCUUUCGCUAGGGACGAAGCGUUUUUGUGACGGUACCUGGAGAAGAAGCACCGGCUAACUACGUG
rnacentral:rRNA from 1 species